rfam:Triticum aestivum genome assembly, contig: Triticum_aestivum_CS42_TGACv1_scaffold_594918_7BS
GUCCGAAAAUACUUGUCAUCAAAAUGGAUAAAAAGAGAUGUAUCUAAAACUAAAAUACGUCUAGAUACAUUUCCUUUUAUCCAUUUUGAUGACAAGUAUUUCCGGACGGAGGGAGUAUUUG